GCGGCGGACGGGUGAGUAACGCGUGGGAACGUGCCCUCUGGUUCGGAAUAACUCAGGGAAACUUGAGCUAAUACCGGAUACGCCCUUUUGGGGAAAGGCUUGCUGCCGGAGGAUCGGCCCGCGUCUGAUUAGCUAGUUGGUGAGGUAACGGCUCACCAAGGCGACGAUCAGUAGCUGGUCUGAGAGGAUGAUCAGCCACACUGGGACUGAGACACGGCCCAGACUCCUACGGGAGGCAGCAGUGGGGAAUAUUGGACAAUGGGCGCAAGCCUGAUCCAGCCAUGCCGCGUGAGUGAUGAAGGCCUUAGGGUUGUAAAGCUCUUUUAUCCGGGACGAUAAUGACGGUACCGGAGGAAUAAGCCCCGGCUAACUUCGUG
rnacentral:rRNA from 1 species